rnacentral:rRNA from 1 species
UGCGUAGGUGGUUUCUUAAGUCAGAGGUGAAAGGCUACGGCUCAACCGUAGUAAGCCUUUGAAACUGGGAAACUUGAGUGCAGGAGAGGAGAGUGGAAUUCCUAGUGUAGCGGUGAAAUGCGUAGAUAUUAGGAGGAACACCGGUGGCGAAGGCGGCUUGCUGGACAGAUACUGACGCUGAGGUGCGAAAGCGUGGGGAGCAAACA